rnacentral:rRNA from 1 species
GAUGAACGCUGGCGGCGUGCCUAAUACAUGCAAGUCGAGCGAACAGACGAGGAGCUUGCUCCUCUGACGUUAGCGGCGGACGGGUGAGUAACACGUGGAUAACCUACCUAUAAGACUGGGAUAACUUCGGGAAACCGGAGCUAAUACCGGAUAAUAUAUUGAACCGCAUGGUUCAAUAGUGAAAGACGGUUUUGCUGUCACUUAUAGAUGGAUCCGCGCCGCAUUAGCUAGUUGGUAAGGUAACGGCUUACCAAGGCAACGAUGCGUAGCCGACCUGAGAGGGUGAUCGGCCAAACUGGAACUGAGAAACGGUCCAGACGACUACGGGAGGCAGCAGUAGGGAAUCUUCCGCAAUGGGCGAAAGCCUGAAGGAGCAACGCCGCGUGAGUGAUGAAGGUCUUCGGAUCGUAAAACUCUGUUAUUAGGGAAGAACAAAUGUGUAAGUAACUAUGCACGUCUUGACGGUACCUAAUCAGAAAGCCACGGCUAACUACGUG